rnacentral:SRP_RNA from 1 species
GCCAGGCGUUGUGGCGGGCGUCUGUAGUCCCAGCUACUUGGGAGGCUGAGGCAGGAGACUCGCUUGAGCCCAGGAGUUGGAGGUUGCUGUGAGCGUGAUGCCAUGGCACUCUACCCAGGGGGAUAGCUUGAGGCUCCGUCUCAAAAAAAAAAAAAAAAAAAAAAAAAAAAAGAAGAUGGGGGUCUCACUAUAUUGCCUAGCUUGUCUUAAGCUCCUGGCCUCAAGUGAUCAUUUUUUUUUUUUUUUGAGACAGUGUUACUAUGUCCCCCUGGGUAGAGUAUGAUGGCAUCACAGCUCACAGCAACCUCAAACUCUUGGGCUUAAGCGAUUCUCUUGCCUCAG